GACAGUGAUAAUACACAGUGUAACAGUGAUAAUACACAGUCUGACAGUGAUAAUACACAGUCUAUCAGUGAUAAUACACAGUCUAUCAGUGAUAAUACACGGUGUAACAGUGAUAAUACACAGUCUAUCAGUGAUAAUACACAGUCUAUCAGUUAUAAUACACAGUCUAACAGUGAUAAUACACAGUGUGACAAUGAUAAUACACAGUGUAACAGUGAUAAUACACAGUCUAUCAGUUAUAAUACACAGUCUAUCAGUUAUAAUACACAGUCUGACAGUGAUAAUACACAGUGUAACAGUGAUAAUACACAGUGUGACAGUGAUAAUACACAGUCUAUCAGUGAUAAUACACAGUCUAUCAGUUAUAAUACACAGUCUGACAGUGAUAAUACACAGUGUAACAGGAGAGGGUUAGCUCAUAUCUGCUACUCAGUCCCAAGUCAUUGGUGAUUAAUAAAGUUGGAGCUGGCUCCCAGGGAUUUCCCUCGGAUUGUAUUGUUCUCCAGUGACGAGCUAGCCUUAGAUGACACUGUCCACCUCCGGAUGAGUUAGAGUGAGUCUUUCUCCGGAAUGACUGUCCGACUCCUGUUUUCCUGAG